rnacentral:tRNA from 1 species
CCCACCGUUCUUUAUGAAAAGAUGCCUUCGAUAAGGCCAAGUAUGCAACUCCCGUGGCG